AUCUGGCCCCCAGGGCCCGAGUUGUAAUUUGCAGAGGAUGCUUUUGGCGCGGUGCCUUCCGAGUUCCCUGGAACGGGACGCCAUAGAGGGUGAGAGCCCCGUCUGGUCGGACGCCUAGCCUGUGUAAAGCUCCUUUGACGAGUCGAGUAGUUUGGGAAUGCUGCUCUAAAUGGGAGGUAUAUGUCUUCUAAAGCUAAAUACCGGCCAGAGACCGAUAGCGCACAAGUAGAGUGAUCGAAAGAUGAAAAGCACUUUGAAAAGAGGGUUAAAUAGUACGUGAAAUUGUUGAAAGGGAAGCGCUUGUGACCAGACUUGGGCCCGGUGGAUCAUCCAGCGUUCUCGCUGGUGCACUCCGCCGGGUUCAGGCCAGCAUCAGUUCGCCGCGGGGGAAAAAGGCUUCGGGAACGUGGCUCCUACGGGAGUGUUAUAGCCCGUUGCAUAAUACCCUGGGGCGGACUGAGGUUCGC
rnacentral:rRNA from 1 species